rnacentral:rRNA from 1 species
AUUGAACGCUGGCGGCAGGCCUAACACAUGCAAGUCGAGCGGCGCGCCGGACGGGUGCGUAUUGCCUAGGUAUGGGCCUGUUACUGGGGGAUGACGAUCGCUAACGGGAGCUAUUACUGCAUCCUAUCAGCUGAGCCUAGGUCGGAUUAGCUAGUUGGUGGGGUAAAGGUCUACCAAGGCCACGAUCCGUAACUGGACUGAGAGGAGGAUCAGUAAAACUGGGACGGAGAAACGGGCCAGACUCCUACGGGAGGCAGCAGUGGGGAAUAUUGGACAAUGGGCGAAAGCCUGAUGCAGCCAUGCCGCGUGUGUGAAGAAGGUCUUCGGGUUGUAAAGCACUUUGGGUUGGGAGGCGGUACCAACAGAAUAAGCAACGGCUAACUUCGUGCCAGCAGCCGCGGUAAUAC